rnacentral:rRNA from 1 species
UACGAAGGGGGCUAGCGUUGUUCGGAUUUACUGGGCGUAAAGCGCACGUAGGCGGGUUGUUAAGUCAGGGGUGAAAUCCUGGAGCUCAACUCCAGAACUGCCUUUGAUACUGGCAACCUAGAGGCUGGAAGAGGUUAGUGGAAUUCCCAGUGUAGAGGUGAAAUUCGUAGAUAUUGGGAAGAACACCAGUGGCGAAGGCGGCUAACUGGCCCAGAUCUGACGCUGAGGUGCGAAAGCGUGGGGAGCAAACAGG